GUAGGCUUCCAGCAUCACACCUCUAUGCCCCCUAUGCCUUCAGUGUACAUUUCCUGAAACAGCCAAUGUCUGGAUUUCUGAUCAGUUACUAGUGCAUUAUGUGGGAAGCUGUUCAAAUCCUGCAUCCUCCUCUGUGAGGUGGGCCUAUGAGGACCCUUCGCCAUGAGAGGAUGAGAAGUAACAGUGGAAACAUCUGCCUGAAUAGUAAUGAUGGGCGUAGCUCAUUAUCACGUGCCAAGCAACCUGCACACAUUAUGUCAUUUGACCUGUAUGGAAGAAACAGGCUCAGUGACAGUGUGUAAUUUGCCCAAGGUCACCCAACAAACUAAGCUUUCAUGUACAAGAUGUUGUCUCAAGACAGGGAAAUCCGACCAGAGCCUCUGAGCCUCCCCCGCCCUCUGGAGCUUCUGCAGUGAUGUGGCCUGGCCACCAGAUGGCCCCACACAGACCACCGCAAUCUUGGAAGAGGAGGUGAGUCUCUGUCCAGGAGCUGUUUUAGAGUGGCGGCUCCCCUGCCAGAGCGUCCACACUGUCAUCCCUGUAGUCUCGAGUCACAGGGAAACAGCUCAGCAGGGGCAGCAACUUACCACAGUCACUAGGCCUACACUUCGUGUUUCCUAGGGGUUGUUAUCCUGGUUGAGCAAAACCCCAAAACUGUGACAGAGUUGCCGGAUUUUUCUGGACCUCAGUUUCCACAUUUGCAGAAAAGUGCAAGUCUUUUCUGUCUGGCUUUCUUCAGGGGGUCUAAAUGGCACAUCAAACACUGGGCCUCAGUUUCCACAUUUGUAGAAAAGUGCAAGUCUUUUCUGUCUGGCUUUCUUCAGGGGGUCUAAAUGGCACAUCAAACACUGGGCCUCAGUUUCCACGUCUGUGAAAUUGGUAUAACACUAGAGGCCAUUUUGUGUCAUCAUGAGGGUGACAAGCUGUCCACAUCUGAAGUGAUUUGAGGGUUAAGCCUGCAAGGCAGAGUGUAGCCACCUACAGGUAAGCUCUGGAUCUGCCUUCAGCUCUCAGAACAGCCUUGUUUAUAAACUGCAGUGUAGGACUUCAGAAUGGGAGGAGACCUCUGG
rnacentral:lncRNA from 1 species